rnacentral:rRNA from 1 species
AACGAACGCUGGCGGCAGGCUUAACACAUGCAAGUCGAACGGGUGUAGCAAUACAUCAGUGGCAGACGGGUGAGUAACACGUGGGAACCUUCCUCGUUGUACGGGACAACUCAGGGAAACUUGAGCUAAUACCGUAUGCGUCCGAGAGGAGAAAGAUUUAUCGCAAUGAGACGGGCCCGCGUCGGAUUAGCUAGUUGGUGGGUAACGGCCUACCAAGGCGACGAUCCGUAGCUGAUCUGAGAGGAUGAUCAGCCACACUGGGACUGAGACACGGCCCAGACUCCUACGGGAGGCAGCAGUGGGGAAUAUUGCGCAAUGGGCGAAAGCCUGACGCAGCGACGCCGCGUGGGUGAUGAAGGCCUCGGUCGUAAGACC